CUUUCAGGACAAACCCCGUGCGAUUCUCACCGGAGCCUCUGGGAAAGUUUUCCUCCUUGGGAAAGUUUCCUUUUACCCUGUGAGUGUUCUGCUCCCGUGUUUUGAAUUUCUCCUCUCUAAAUGCCUGAUCUGUGCCCUUGCUUAAUCAAGAUGAUGUUCUCCUCGCUGCCAAGCCUGGCGUGGAAGAUUGUGGGCACUGUGCCACGGACUCAGCACCACGUGUGGGCAAAAGGAGCCUCUUGCAACAAAAAAUACAAUUAAACAGCACCUGGCAGUUUAUACAA